UUCAUAGAGUGUAAAGGCAUAAGGGAGCUUGACUGCGAGACCUACAAGUCGAGCAGGGUCGAAAGACGGACUUAGUGAUCCGGUGGUUCCGCAUGGAAGGGCCAUCGCUCAACGGAUAAAAGCUACCCCGGGGAUAACAGGCUUAUCUCCCCCAAGAGUUCACAUCGACGGGGAGGUUUGGCACCUCGAUGUCGGCUCAUCGCAUCCUGGGGCUGUAGUCGGUCCCAAGGGUUGGGCUGUUCGCCCAUUAAAGCGGUACGCGAGCUGGGUUCAGAACGUCGUGAGACAGUUCGGUCCCUAUCCGUCGUGGGCGUAGGAAAUUUGAGAGGAGCUGUCCUUAGUACGAGAGGACCGGGAUGGACAUACCUCUGGUGUACCAGUUGUCGUGCCAACGGCAUAGCUGGGUAGCUAUGUGUGGACGGGAUAAGUGCUGAAAGCAUCUAAGCAUGAAGCCCCCCUCAAGAUGAGAUUUCCCAACUUCGGUUAUAAGAUCCCUCAAAGAUGAUGAGGUUAAUAGGUUCGAGGUGGAAGCAUGGUGACAUGUGGAGCUGACGAAUACUAAUCGAUCGAAGACUUAAUCAAAUU
rnacentral:rRNA from 1 species